UCUCCCUCUUACCCUUCCUAGAUCGACGCCCCUUCCUCUCCCGAUCGAGAUCGACGCCCCUGCUCCUCCGUCCAACCACACCGCCUCUCCUCUACCUCCUCCCUUUGGGUGAGAAGAGGAGCCCUUCUUCGUAUUUCUAGAAAGGAGAGGUGAUGAGUUGGUCUUGUUUUCUAGGGUUUUGUUGUCGUCGGAUCUCAGAGUAGUAGCGGCGGAGGGAGGCAAGAUGAAGACAACCAAAAGGGGAAAGGUGAUGAACCCCACCGAUGUCUACCAGAAAGAGAUACGGAAGGAGAUCAAACAGACUCAGUUGCUGCUGGGAAAGGUAGAGCUUCUUCCUACUUGGUGGUGUUUCUUAGUAUCCAUGACAAGGACUGGGUAUUCUUUCUUUAUGCUGGGAUGAGCAUUAGAUUUACUCCCUUGGCUGGUAGCCGCUUGCUGUAGUUGCAGCAUUCAUUUGCUGUCAGUGUUUCAGCAUUAGAUUUACUCCCUUGGCUGGUAGCCGCUUGCUAUAUAUAGUUGCAGCAUUCAUUUGCUGCCAGUGUUUCUAGAUGCUUCUUUUGAGUUAUUUAAAUGAUUCAGAUUUCACAAGACCCUCAUUUGUACUCCGGAGAAACUCUCUGUAAGGGAGGGAGUUGAUUCAAGGAGCAACAAGAGCAGCAGGUACUAUGGAUGCUCUCGCAGGAUCGGCCUUAGAUGCUUGGAUGAAUUUCUGUGGAGAAUGGAGAUUCCUCCUGUGUCGAUCAAGGGACUUUUGAUUCUUGUGGUUUUAGCCAACUAUUUUACUCUUCUACAUGCACCAACAAUAUCCUUGUCAGUUCCAUAAAUGUGGUCCUAAUUAUUGGAUUCUUGCUCAAAUUUGUUUGCAAGUUGUCAAGCAGAUCUGUCAGUGUUCAUCUGUAUUUUAGUUUGCCUUCAUUAUUAUGAAACAUCUCUGCUGUGUUCAGUUCUUUGUUGGGAAUAAGCUAUUUAUUUCUUGGAUCAUGGAUGCUGGCCUCUAAUAUGAGGAUAGGCACGGGCAUCCAUCCUCCACAUCAGUGGUUUGUCUUGUUAGCUCAAGGCUUUUGUUUGGUACUCAUUACUCUUACCCUCAGCAUCAGGCACAUACAAGUUGGCUUUACAUUCAUUAGGAUCUGGUUAGUGGGUGCAGCCUGCUCUAUUGGAUUUGUGUGCUUUUCUUCUAUUUUAGAGGUCCUGGUAGAUAACGAGGUGUCUUUUUUAGGUUACGUUGAUCUUUCAUCCUUGGUAGUUUUUUUUGUUCUCCUUAUUGUCAGAUUAUGACUGGUUUCGAAAUUGAGUUAUUACUUAGUUUCACAUAUGAAGCUGUUAGGUUGUUGAUGCCAUCUUUUCCCUGGGUAGUAUCAAUGUUAUUUUCCUCUCACUUAUAAGCAUUCAAAACUUUGGAUCAUUAUUAUUGCUUGUACUUUGUGGUCUAGGUUUGGUUUGCAGUCAUUGCGUUAUUCUUUGAGAGGAUUAACAAGGUUAUCAGAAUUCACAUGAAAGAGACAAACCAAAAGACGGGAUUUGCAUGAAGCAAAUAGGUGGUGAACUAAUAAUUCACUUAGUCUAGAAUCUAGAAGAGUGUCAGUUGCUUACUUAAUUCUGUUGGGUUAUGAGAUAAUUCAUGAUGAAGGUGCUUGAUGGCUAAUACCACUUGCAUUGUCAGUCAUUAAUUGCUUUGCAGAGACAUGCCAGUUAUAUUGUUUACCUUUGUGAUAUCGAAUAUGAUUCGCGAUAGGAUCAAACGGGACGACCCACACAACAAGAUCAAAAAGAGUUCGUACACAAAUGAAUAAGCUUGUUGUUCAAAGGGUUCAGGGAGUUAAACAAAGUGUGAAAUUUAAUGAGUAUGGACAGCCAGUGGGCCAAAAGGCUUCUGAAUUGCAGAGUUUUAUUGGUGUGCUUGCUCGGAAAAAAGUUAAUAUUAAUUACCACUCUUGGAAGCAAGUGCCGAAUGAAGUCAAGAACAUGAUAUGGGAAUCUGUCAAUUUGACAUACCAACUGGACCCAAAAUGGAGAAAUGGGUGUUUGAGCUCUGCAAAUUCAAAGUGACUUCAGUAUAAAACUCACCUCACUAGGACAUUCAUCCAACCAAAUAGAAAUAAUCCGAAGCUUCUCAACAAGGUACCUCAAGGGCAUUGCAUUUCACUUGAAGAUUGGAGUAGUUUUGUGAUUAAUCGGAUGUAUGAAGACUUUAUAACAAAAAGUGAACUACAAAGUCAAAGAAGCAAGGCAAACUUAUAUCCUCACCGUCUUUCUCAAAAAGGAUAUGCGGGUUUAUCUGAAGAAAUAUUUACAAAUCUCAAGUACUCUAGAGUUGAAAUUGAUGAAGUGUGGUUCGAGUGGGCUGAA